GCUCAGGAUGAACGCUGGCGGUCUGCUUAACACAUGCAAGUCGAACGCAACCUUCGGGUUGAGUGGCGGACGGGUGAGUAACGCGUGAGAAUCUGCCUUGGGGUCGGGGACAACCACUGUAAACGGUGGCUAAUACCGGAUAAGCCUUUGGGUAAAAAAUUUAUUGCCCCAAGAGGAGCUCGCGUCUGAUUAGCUAGUUGGUGAGGUAAAAGCUCACCAAGGCAGCGAUCAGUAGCUGGUCUGAGAGGACGAUCAGCCACACUGGGACUGAGACACGGCCCAGACUCCUACGGGAGGCAGCAGUGGGGAAUUUUCCGCAAUGGGCGAAAGCCUGACGGAGCAAGACCGCGUGAGGGAGGAAGGCUCUUGGGUUGUAAACCUCUUUUCUCAGGGAAGAAGCUCUGACGGUACCUGAGGAAUCAGCCUCGGCUAACUCCGUGCCAGCAGCCGCGGUAAUACGGAGGAGGCAAGCGUUAUCCGGAAUUAUUGGGCGUAAAGCGUCCGCAGGUGGCGAUUCAAGUCUGCUGUCAAAGCACGGGGCUUAACUCCGUUAAGGCAGUGGAAACUGAAUAGCUAGAGUGCCGUAGGGGUAGAGGGAAUUCCCGGUGUAGCGGUGAAAUGCGUAGAGAUCGGGAAGAACAUCGGUGGCGAAAGCGCUCUACUGGACGGCAACUGACACUCAGGGACGAAAGCUAGGGGAGCGAAUGGGAUUAGAUACCCCAGUAGUCCUAGCUGUAGACGAUGGAUACUAGGUGUAGCUUGUAUCGACCCGAGCUGUGCCGAAGCUAACGCGUUAAGUAUCCCGCCUGGGGAGUACGCAUGCAAGUGUGAAAC
rnacentral:rRNA from 1 species